rnacentral:misc_RNA from 1 species
GGUCAACUGCAUUAUCCAUGAACUGUAUGUGGAAGCAAAUUGAACUUGUAAAUCAGGAGAUAAAAAGAAACAUAGAUUUGCAAUUUCCAUAAUUCUAACUUUUUAUUCAGUUACUUCAUAAAAAAUUACUCAAUAAAAUAAAAUUGCAAAUGAGCAAAGGAUACUGUUUCCUUCUUAAUUUUAGUAAAUAAGUAAUAGUAAUAAAUAAUCAAUUAAACUUGCCCAAUCAGGUAAACUUGUCAUCCACUCCAGAAAAUGUGACUUCAGUUCGAACAAGCUUUAUUGCAGAACUAAAGGGGAACUAAUGACCUCCUUUUAAUCAAAAUUGCAAAACAUGGCUUAGGGUAAUCUCCAGUAGUGUUUGCCACUUUGCAUAUGGCAAUAAUAAUAGAUUUGAACAGUAACAAGAUGUACACAGAUCUAUUCUAGAAUCUUAAUUUUUUACCUCAAUACCAGUUUCCACUAGAUAAUAUACCAGGAACUUUUAAGCUCACCCUCAACACAAUAUCCAAGCAAUAGCUAAAUGAAUGAGGUUCCUUUGUUGGGAUUAAAAAUCUCACAUUGGGAAAUUAUAAACAUAAAAUGGUCAAUGUAAGUUGUUAGAUUGUAACAUUAACUUCGCUAAUCAUUUUGAUAUGUAAAAUAAUCUAAUUACUUAUA